rnacentral:rRNA from 1 species
GAUGAACGCUGGCGGCGUGCCUAAUACAUGCAAGUCGAGCGAGCGGCGGACGGGUGAGUAAUGUCUGGGAAACUGCCUGAUGGAGGGGGAUAACUACUGGAAACGGUAGCUAAUACCGCAUACCAUCAGAUGUGCCCAGAUGGGAUUAGCUAGUUGGUGGGGUAAUGGCUCACCUAGGCGACGAUCCCUAGCUGGUCUGAGAGGAUGACCAGCCACACGGGAACUGAGACACGGUCCAGACUCCUACGGGAGGCAGCAGUGGGGAAUAUUGCGCAAUGGGCGCAAGCCUGAUGCAGCCAUGCCGCGUGUGUGAAGAAGGCCUUCGGGUUGUAAAGUACUUUCAGUGAGGAGGCGUUACUCGCAGAAGAAGCACCGGCUAACUCCGUGCCAGCAGCCGCGGUAAUUC